rnacentral:lncRNA from 1 species
ACUCCUCCCAAGGGGUGAGUGCAGGAAGACACCAGGAGGGAGGCGGAGCCUCUGGAGAUCUUUCUGGAACCCAAACCACCCUAACUGGAGCCAGAAGGUCUGUCAAUUCCCAGAGAGCAGCAAGGAAAUGGUAAGUAAAUGGCAGCAGUUGCCUAGAGAAUUAGGGAAUGAAUAACAAUGCUUUCUGGUAAAUUAACCAUAUUACAUUGUGCACAGCAAAGUGAUGGAAGAACCCAGUUAAAAAUUGAAUAAUAAUUUUCCCACAUCAUUUAUGUAAAAUGCAUAAUUUUCCUACUUCAGUGGACUUUGGUUUGAUUUAAAAUAUGAACCGCUCUAGUACUGUUCACCAAAGCAUAAUUUGUGAGAUAAUUGGGAAGGGGAGGAGAAAUCAGGCUGUAAUCAGCACAAUCCUGUGUGAGCCACUUCACCUCCCUCCCGUCCCCUGCAAAUUUCGGAAAUUGUUUGUCGAUAGGUUGAAGGUCUCUAUGUGAAAGUGUGAGGCAUCAAUCAUUGUCGUUGCUAUCACUAAACCAUGACCUCACCGUGUGCAAGAGGGGAAAGCAAGGCUUCCCUCUAGUCAGUCUUUUUCUGCUCUAAUUCAAAUAAGUACUUGUUUUUGAAUAGUAGGGAAAAUGGAAAUGUUGCCAUGCUUAAAACAGCAAGCCGAGAACAAAAGAAACGUGCAAGCAGCGGAAGGAGACCUUGGAAGAUGCGUAGAUAGAACAAAAAACUGCGCUUGGCCAGGAUUCUGUUUCAGAAUCAAAUGCAAAAUGAAGAACGUUGUUCCAACUAUAACGAUUUUGCCACCUACGAUCUCUGAAAUGAAAAGUCGUCAUGGAAUCCACGUUGACAUUCAAAAGCUGUGCUCUUGCGAUGAGUGAUGGUGUUUGUCCGUGACUGAUGUAGGCUUCAGAACCAGAGCUGUCGGCGGUGGGGUGGAAUUCCACAGGUGAACCAGCCACCCUUCACUUCGACGCUGCCCUCCCGGCUAGAAAUUGCCUUUUUGCAAAUUGGAAAAAGCUAUCCUACCUCAAGACACUUUGCUGCCAUCAGCCAGAAAAUUAUUGUAAUAGAUAUGCCAAGAGAUGAUGUGAAUGGUGCCCCCUAGAAUUGUGCAGUACACAACUGGCACCGCGGUAUGAGACAACGCUGUAGUUGGAAACCACCUGAGUUACCUUGGAAGUCUGUAAAACUCAGAGCCACGGUAGGUCAGUCUUGCCUUUUUAUGACAGUUUGCAAUUUCAAAAUCUAAACCUUUC